AAGGUAUGUUAACCAUAAUCUAUUUUAUGUCGCUUCCGCACUGAAAAUUUUUAUAUACAUUUUCUUUUAAUUUCCGGGACCGUUACACUAAAAAUAUCUUAAUUGCACCCUAUAAGACAAUUGGCAUGUUGUUUGCAUUUUGCAUAACAAAAGCAGAAUAGUCGCUUGAUUGGUGACUAGAAAUCCUUUGAGAAAUCGAAGACAAAGUAUCUCACCUAACGAGUGUGAGUGAAAACUUUUGUUUUCAUUUUGUACAUUAUCCACGUUUAAUUUUCAAAUUACAUUUCU
rnacentral:lncRNA from 1 species